GUCCACGCCCUAACGAUGUCAACUGGUUGUUGGGAAUUCACUUUCUCAGUAACGAAGCUAACGCGUGAAGUUGACCGCCUGGGGAGUACGGCCGCAAGGUUAAACUCAAAGGAAUUGACGGGACCCGCACAAGCGGUGGAUGAUGUGGUUUAAUUCGAUGCAACGCGAAACCUUACCCACCUUUGACAUGGCAGAAAGGCUUCAGAGAUGAGGCUGUGCUCGAAAGAGAAUCUGUACACAGGUGCUGCAUGGCUGUCGU
rnacentral:rRNA from 1 species